AUUGAACGCUGGCGGCAUGCCUUACACAUGCAAGUCGAACGGCAGCACGGGUGCUUGCACCUGGUGGCGAGUGGCGAACAGGUGAGUAAUACAUCGGAACGUACCUUAUCGUGGGGGAUAACGCAGCGAAAGCUGUGCUAAUACCGCAUAAUCCCUACGGGGGAAAGCGGGGGACCGUAAGGCCUCGCGCAAUUAGAGCGGCCGAUACCUGAUUAGCUAGUUGGUGAGGUAAAGGCUCACCCAGGCAAAGAUCAGUAGCUGGUCUGAGAGGACGGACAGCCACACUGGGACUGAGACACGGCCCAGCGUCCUACGGGAGGCAGCAGUGGGGAAUUUUUGACAAUGGGGGCAACCCUGAUCCAGCAAUGCCGCGUGAGUGAAGAAGGCCUUCGGGUUGUAAAGCGCUUUUGUCAGGGAAGAAACAGCAGCUCUAACACAGUUUGCGAAUGACGGUACCUGAAGAAUAAGCACCGGCUAACUACGUGCCAGCAGCCGCCGUAA
rnacentral:rRNA from 1 species